CACGUAGGGUGCGAGCGUUGUCCGGAAUUAUUGGGCGUAAAGAGCUCGUAGGCGGUGUGUCGCGUCGAUCGUGAAAACUUGGGGCUUAACCCUGAGCUUGCGGUCGAUACGGGCAUCACUUGAGUUCGGCAGGGGAGACUGGAAUUCCUGGUGUAGCGGUGAAAUGCGCAGAUAUCAGGAGGAACACCGGUGGCGAAGGCGGGUCUCUGGGCCGAUACUGACGCUGAGGAGCGCAAGCGUGGGGAGCGAACAGG
rnacentral:rRNA from 1 species